UAGGGAAUCUUCCGCAAUGGACGAAAGUCUGACGGAGCAACGCCGCGUGAGUGAUGAAGGUUUUCGGAUCGUAAAGCUCUGUUGUUAGGGAAGAACAAGUGCUGUUUGAAUAAGGCGGCACCUUGACGGUACCUAACCAGAAAGCCACGGCUAACUACGUGCCAGCAGCCGCGGUAAUACGUAGGUGGCAAGCGUUGUCCGGAAUUAUUGGGCGUAAAGCGCGCGCAGGCGGUCUCUUAAGUCUGAUGUGAAAGCCCACGGCUCAACCGUGGAGGGUCAUUGGAAACUGGGAGACUUGAGUACAGAAGAGGAGAGUGGAAUUCCACGUGUAGCGGUGAAAUGCGUAGAUAUGUGGAGGAACACCAGUGGCGAAGGCGACUCUCUGGUCUGUAACUGACGCUGAGGCGCGAAAGCGUGGGGAGCAAACAG
rnacentral:rRNA from 1 species